GAUGAAGAACGUAGCGAAAUGCGAUAAGUAAUGUGAAUUGCAGAAUUCAGUGAAUCAUCGAAUCUUUGAACGCACAUUGCGCCCAUUAGUAUUCUAGUGGGCAUGCCUGUUCGAGCGUCAUUAAGUCCACUUAAGCCCUGCUUAGUGUUGGGAGACUGCUCCAGCGGUGCUACCCUGUAGCUACCCUGCAGCUCCUCAAAGACAGCGGCGGAGUUGUGGUAUCCUCUGAGCUUAGUAACUUGUUCUAGCUUUCGAGUACACCACUUCCCCUGCCGUAAAACCCUUAAUUUUUAAUGGUAGACCUCGGAUCAGGUAGGAAUACCCGCUGAACUUAAGCAUAUCAAUAAGCGGAGA
rnacentral:misc_RNA from 1 species